UCCUGACUCAUUGGAAACUAAUUUGUGUGAAAAUGAUUCAUCAAAUGCUGAACUGAAAACACUCUUUCCUGCUUGUUUCUAGAUAUUUGAAAAAGGUUUUAAAAACAUUUCUAGACCCUUUUGUGAUCCACUUGCUACAUGAAUGGAAGCUUGAAAGAAUUGCUGCUAUGACCACCCAAGCUUCUUUCAAAUUUCUGAGGACCAGCCUUCCUGUGUAAUUCAGUGUUUGAUAUUCAGAUUGUUCUAUUCCUACAAGACAACACUUUGAUCGCUUUCAGAAAAACUGGAAAUCUAGAGCUACUUUACAGCUAGAAAGGCUGAGGAUCAUCAAGAAUUGGGGAAUUGAACAUCCAACAAACAUCUCUUUGCAAGAAGACUUAGCAAGGGAGGUAAAAGAACUGCUCUAAGAGUUAGAACUGAAGCUUUCUUACUGGAUUCCCCAAACUCAUACAAUAACCCCAGGACAUCUAAAGAAUUUGGCAUUUUCUGCUCACCAGGUAUAAUUAACAUGAUACUAUCAAUAUAUUAGACCAGC